rnacentral:rRNA from 1 species
UAUUGGUCAAUGGAGGAAACUCUGACCCAGCGACGCCGCGUGCGGGAUGAAGGCCUUCGGGUUGUACACCGCUUUCAGUAGGGAAGAAGCGAAAGUGACGGUACCUACAAAAGAAGCACCGGCUAACUAUGUGCCAGCAGCUGCGGUAAUACAUAGGGUGCAAGCGUUGUCCGGAAUUAUUGGGCGUAAAGAGCUCGUAGGUCGUUUGUUACGUCGGAUGUGAAAACCUGAGGCUCGACCUCAGGCCUGCAUUCGAUACGGGCAAACUAGAGUUUGGUAGGGGAGACUGGAAUUCCUGGUGUAGCGGUGGAAUGAGCAGAUAUCAGGAGGAACACCAAGGCGAAGGCGGGUCUCUGACCUCGGCUACACGAGAGCGAAA